ensembl:lncRNA novel transcript
CGCAGUUUAUGGGCUGAGUCACAGUAGAUGAUUUGUAGGAUUAAGAUUAAUCAGUGGCCUCUGAUUAGAGUCUUAGUUAAAUGAAUCUGCUCCCUCCAUGGGUCUUCGGUAUUUAGAGACUUGGUCCAGGUUAUCCUGUUAACCCGCUUUAUUAGAGAAUCUUAUUGCUUUUUUUAUGGGAUUGUGAGAGCCCAAAGGUUUUUACUUUCAGCUGCUGCUGCUAUUUUGCCCCUAAAAAUAGAGAGUAAGCCAUAUUUUUUUUCUUUGGAAGAAAAUGUUUUCUUUAAACUGUCAUAGAAAAGGAGACUUUUCAAGCACAUAGAAGUUAUCUCAACUUUGGACUUGUGAAGAGAGCUGUCUGCAUACACCGCAUCUGGAAUGAAUAGGCACGAUUCCUUCCCUCUGAGGGGUCUGCGGUGUCCCAGUCAGUGCAGAGGAGUUCAGGACACCGGUUCGAUGCCUCUGAAGGAACAGCCAUCAUCAUCCCUGGAAACAUAGAUUGUUGGUCUCCAGGAGUAAAUUAUGAUCAAAAUUCAAAGCCAUCAUAAAUUAAAUGUGUUUUUUUUCCUGCUUUGGUAUACAAGACUUUCCAUUAAGCUAGACUCAUAUAAUAUACCUUGGAUAUGUUCAAGAAAGCCCUGUAAAUUAUGGAAUCUCUCCUUGAGCAAAGACCUUGAUCAAUUCAGAGGCUGUGGAAUACUACUCAUCAAUAAAAAAAAUAUAAACUCCUGAUACACCUCAUGGAUGGAUGCAUAGAUGGAUGGAUGGAUCUGAAAAACAUCGUGCUGAAUAAAAGAAGCCAGACAUGAAAGAUGAGAAGUACUAGCUAUCAAAGAUGCCAUCCUACUGAUUGUAUGAAAUAGAAUGAAUGGCUUGGAGAGUACCUGAUUAAACAAUAGGUGGGUGGGCUGGUGAUGAAGAUCAACAGAAGGGAGAAGAGAAAUAAAAAAGGGUGUUCCAUGGAGAAAGUAAGGAUGCUCUGGCUGACUAACGUUCUCUUUUCGGAUUCAAUUGGACAUGGUUCUCCAGUGCUUCUUGGCUCUAAUUACGGCGGAAUGUGCCUGUGAGUUGUCCAACAGCUGCCACAUCCUUGUUAAGGUGAACAUUAUCACGCCGGGACGGUGGCUGAUUACCCACAAUGUGCAAAGCAUUGUUGCAGGAACUGUGAAUUCAAGAAGAAAUGAGAAACAGUCCUGGUCUCUGAGGCACUGACACCCAGAAGUGGAUAAACAAUCAAUCCCCAUUGUACUGGGGAUACUAUUUUGAUUCAUAAUAACUGCACCUCUGGCCCUGUGGAGACUUUAAACCCCAGGUGUAAAUGGAAAAGAAGAGAGACCUGAGUCAUGCUGGUGGAGGUGGCUGUGUUCCUGGAACCGGAUGCAGAGACCAGCAAACGCAGCUGAGGAACAGGCAGUAAGAAUUGCAUCUGUGUUUAUGUAAAGCGUAUGGAUUCAUCCACAAAGCUUACGAGGUGCACCUGAGGUCACAGGUAAGUGGCAGAAUCAAGAUCAGGACGUUCUUCCACUAACAUCUUUGCCAAGUUUCUUUUCUUCUCUGGGAAGCUGCCUUGUCAUCCUCACCAAAUAAUCUUCUAUGCUAUUUACUUACUGGACCACCAUUGGCUCAUUUUAGUUCCUUUCAUCUACCUAAAUGCACCUGAUUUGUAAAGAUAAUCAUAUGUUCCUUCCAGGUCAACUCUAUUAAAUGGUAUUUUAAUGUGGAA